rnacentral:rRNA from 1 species
UCGAACGGUAGCACAGAGAGCUUGCUCUCGGGUGACGAGUGGCGGACGGGUGAGUAAUGUCUGGGAAACUGCCUGAUGGAGGGGGAUAACUACUGGAAACGGUAGCUAAUACCGCAUAACGUCUUCGGACCAAAGUGGGGGACCUUCGGGCCUCACACCAUCGGAUGUGCCCAGAUGGGAUUAGCUAGUAGGUGGGGUAACGGCUCACCUAGGCGACGAUCCCUAGCUGGUCUGAGAGGAUGACCAGCCACACUGGAACUGAGACACGGUCCAGACUCCUACGGGAGGCAGCAGUGGGGAAUAUUGCACAAUGGGCGCAAGCCUGAUGCAGCCAUGCCGCGUGUAUGAAGAAGGGNCUUCGGGUUGUNAAAGUACUUUCAGUGGGGAGGAAGGCGAUGAAGUUNAAUANCUUUCGUCGAUUNGACGUUACCCGCANAAANAAGCACCGGCU